AGCUCAGAUCGCAGUCUGCAACCCGACUGCGUGAAGUCGGAAUCGCUAGUAAUCGCGGAUCAGCAUGCCGCGGUGAAUACGUUCCCGGGCCUUGUACACACCGCCCGUCACACCAUGAGAGUCGGGAACACCCGAAGUCCGUAGCCUAACCGCAAGGGGGCGCGGCCGAAGGUGGGUUCGAUAAUUGGGGUGAAGUCGUAACAAGGUAGC
rnacentral:rRNA from 1 species